CAGUCGCCGCGGGAAUACGGAGGGGGCUAGCGUUGUUCGGAAUUACUGGGCGUAAAGCGCACGUAGGCGGCUUGGUAAGUUAGAGGUGAAAGCCCGGAGCUCAACUCCGGAAUUGCCUUUAAGACUGCCGAGCUAGCAGGUGAGAGAGGUAAGUGGAAUUCCGAGUGUAGAGGUGAAAUUCGUAGAUAUUCGGAAGAACACCAGUGGCGAAGGCGGCUUACUGGCUCAUACUGGACGCUGAGGUGCGAAAGCGUGGGGAGCAAACAGGAUUAGAUACCCCCGUAGUCCCUGUCUCUUAUAA
rnacentral:rRNA from 1 species